GACGAACGCUGGCGGCGCGCUUAACACAUGCAAGUCGAACGGAAAGGCCUGCUUUCCCUUGUGGAUUGCGGGUACUCGAGUGGCGAACGGGUGAGUAACACGUGAGUGAUCUGCCCCCAACUUGGGUAUAAGCCUGGGAAACUGGGUCUAAUUCCCGAUAGGACUGCAGGGUGGUGCCUGUGGUGGAAAACGAUUUUCUAGUGGUUGGGGAUGAGCUCGCGGCCUAUCAGCUUGUUAGUGGGGUAAUGGCCUACCAAGGCGGCGACGGGUAGCCGGCCUGAGAGGGUGGACGGCCACAUUGGGACUGGGAUACGGCCCAGACUCCUACGGGAGGCAGCAGUGGGGAAUAUUGCACAAUGGGCGGAAGCCUGAUGCAGCGACGCCGCGUGGGGGAUGACGGCCUUCGGGUUGUAAACUCCUUUCGACCGCGAGGAAGCCACCUGGUUGGAAGGGUGGUGACGGUAGUGGUAGAAGAAGCACCGGCUAACUACGUG
rnacentral:rRNA from 1 species